AGAGUUUGAUCCUGGCUCAGGAUGAACGCUAGCUACAGGCUUAACACAUGCAAGUCGAGGGGCAUCAGGAAGAAAGCUUGCUUUCUUUGCUGGCGACCGGCGCACGGGUGAGUAACACGUAUCCAACCUGCCCUUUACUCGGGGAUAGCCUUUCGAAAGAAAGAUUAAUACCCGAUGGCAUAAUGAUUCCGCAUGGUUUCAUUAUUAAAGGAUUCCGGUAAAGGAUGGGGAUGCGUUCCAUUAGGUUGUUGGUGAGGUAACGGCUCACCAAGCCUUCGAUGGAUAGGGGUUCUGAGAGGAAGGUCCCCCACAUUGGAACUGAGACACGGUCCAAACUCCUACGGGAGGCAGCAGUGAGGAAUAUUGGUCAAUGGGCGCUAGCCUGAACCAGCCAAGUAGCGUGAAGGAUGAAGGCUCUAUGGGUCGUAAACUUCUUUUAUAUAAGAAUAAAGUGCAGUAUGUAUACUGUUUUGUAUGUAUUAUAUGAAUAAGGAUCGGCUAACUCCGUGCCAGCAGCCGCGGUAAUACGGAGGAUCCGAGCGUUAUCCGGAUUUAUUGGGUUUAAAGGGAGCGUAGGUGGACUGGUAAGUCAGUUGUGAAAGUUUGCGGCUCAACCGUAAAAUUGCAGUUGAUACUGUCAGUCUUGAGUACAGUAGAGGUGGGCGGAAUUCGUGGUGUAGCGGUGAAAUGCUUAGAUAUCACGAAGAACUCCGAUUGCGAAGGCAGCUCACUGGACUGCAACUGACACUGAUGCUCGAAAGUGUGGGUAUCAAACAGGAUUAGAUACCCUGGUAGUCCACACAGUAAACGAUGAAUACUCGCUGUUUGCGAUAUACAGUAAGCGGCCAAGCGAAAGCAUUAAGUAUUCCACCUGGGGAGUACGCCGGCAACGGUGAAACUCAAAGGAAUUGACGGGGGCCCGCACAAGCGGAGGAACAUGUGGUUUAAUUCGAUGAUACGCGAGGAACCUUACCCGGGCUUAAAUUGCAGUGGAAUGAUGUGGAAACAUGUCAGUGAGCAAUCACCGCUGUGAAGGUGCUGCAUGGUUGUCGUCAGCUCGUGCCGUGAGGUGUCGGCUUAAGUGCCAUAACGAGCGCAACCCUUAUCUUUAGUUACUAACAGGUUAUGCUGAGGACUCUAGAGAGACUGCCGUCGUAAGAUGUGAGGAAGGUGGGGAUGACGUCAAAUCAGCACGGCCCUUACGUCCGGGGCUACACACGUGUUACAAUGGGGGGUACAGAAGGCAGCUAGCGGGUGACCGUAUGCUAAUCCCAAAAGCCUCUCUCAGUUCGGAUCGAAGUCUGCAACCCGACUUCGUGAAGCUGGAUUCGCUAGUAAUCGCGCAUCAGCCACGGCGCGGUGAAUACGUUCCCGGGCCUUGUACACACCGCCCGUCAAGCCAUGAAAGCCGGGGGUACCUGAAGUACGUAACCGCAAGGAGCGUCCUAGGGUAAAACUGGUGAUUGGGGCUAAGUCGUAACAAGGUAGCCGUACCGGAAGGUGCGGCUG
rnacentral:rRNA from 1 species